UGGACCAAUAACGCGGACUGGUGGUGUUUGAGUCAAGGAUAAUGAAUAGUAACAAUUACUCUGAGGCCCAA
rnacentral:snoRNA from 1 species